AAAAAUAUAUUUAUCUCAUAGGAUGAAGGAGAUGAUAAAGAAAACUGAAAAGCCUAUCUGUUAGGAUACCAUAUCUUAAGGAACAUUCUAGAAUGAAUUGUAGAGAAUUAAUCACUCAAGGCACUCAUGCUGAGUCACCAAGGCAGUUAGAGGGGGAAUAUUCUAGAAGGAAAAUUCUGUUAGAGGCAAUGAGGUGAGUCACAUGUGAAGAAUAAUAAUGCUUAGUAUAAAUAGAUGGAGAAAAAAGAGGAGAGGAGGCUGGGAAAUUGGGAGUUCUUGGGAGAGAUCAGUGUGUCUUUAAUUGCACUGAAUUUGUUAGUCUUUUCCUGUAAUUGUCCUUUUUAAGCUUUAGAUUGAAAGUUCAUUGUAAUAGCAUUUCACUCUUUUGAUUAAUAUAAAGAAAAUCCAGAUUUCUGGGCCAAAACUCUUCUGUGUGCGUUCUUUACUCUGAUAUAUUACUUCCAGUCUUAUCACUAUCAUUGCAUGGUGACUGUUGUGAGAUUGGGUUUAUAAGAAGACUAGAGAAGAAGAGAAUAGGAGAGGAGGGAGGGUGGUCUAAGACAAGAUUUUUUUACCUCAAAGGUUAAGGGUGUGGUUGGUUUUCUUUAUAGUGAGAGGAAUGCUGUUUCACUUUAGAGUAAGAGAGAGAGAGAGCUUAGCUGGUUCCAAGUUUGGAAUGGAACACUUUGCUUUAUAUUGAGAAGGUCCCAAUACGACACUCUUUUUUUGCUUUGAUUUGUGUAUUUCCAUCCAACUACGGUACCAAAAGAUAACUCCUUAUAUAUCCUAUCAUACUGUACAAAUACAAUGGUGUAAAGAGACUAUAAGAGGUUGCCUUGCCUAUAGACUAUAGUGUUGUACUCUGAAUGUCAUACUUUGAAUGACUACUGAGUACCUAGAAUAAAAUUCAUUUCAUUAUUUGUGAUGACUGCUAAGAAUAUAUAGUUUGAAGAUCCUUAAAUGCCAACCAAUGUCAUUCUCCCAUAUAAAUACAACAUACAGUAACAUAAAGUCUUCUGAAUGAAGAAAUUGAAAGGGAAGAUUCCUACAUCCCAAAUCAGCAAGUUCUGUCUCUCCUGUUUCUCAGUGUGCUGAAUUUUUCUCUUUUCUCUUAAAACAGUUUUUUAAGGUUUUAUGGCUUUUAUUUUUGCUCAUGUUAUUCUAAUAUAAAUUUGAUAUUCAUUUCAUGAUAAGCAUCUAAAGUAAAUUAUUUGGUAGUCUAUUUGGUAUUAUGAUUCUCAAGCCCUGCUUUUUUUUCCAAUUGUUAUAGAUCAGAAUCUCAUUCUAGGCCCAAUAAGGUAGGUGUUCACCAUUCCAAGAACACAAUUUCAUGCCAUUCAAUAGAUCCAUAAAUUCAUACAAAAAAACAAAUAUAAUAAUUUACAGGUUUGAAGUGCAGACACCUUGAUAAAUCCAUAUAUUUAUCUUCGUGUUGGCUGUUUUUCAUGUCCUUUACUCUGUUCUCACUAUGGCUCUAGGAAGAUUAAAGAUGAAAAGGUGGAAACGAUGGGAAGAGGAAACCAAGACAUGGUAUUUGGGCAUUAAAUACGUGUGCAUAAGACAGUUGCUUGAAUAUCUACUAGUUAUUUGCGUACAUGUUAUCUUGUGUUCAACCUUUUUUUGCCCUGGAGCAGCUUUCAGGGAAGUUCAACCUUGAGGGAAAUAUUGAAUUGCAGGAAAAAGAGGAGUGAAAAUUACAAAUUAUAAAAAGUCUGUUGACGCGAUUCCACACGCACGGAUGUAUCACACUACAAAUACCAGAGAAUUGGCGCUGGUUGGCGCCAGAAUGGCGCAAACUAGCGCCACCAUGCCACCUUGCGCCAGCUGAAGAGAAGUGGCGCCACCAAAGUGAAGCAAACCAACGCCCAAAUUGCAAGGAGAUGGCGCCACUAGGCGCCCACUAAGAGAGGAGAAGUGGCGCUAGUUGGCGCCCAAAAUGUGAAGGAUGGCGCCAACUGGCGCCGAGUCACGGGAAUUGGUUCCGAAUUGCAGCAUACAUUGGGCAGGAAGUUGGCGCAAACGUGCGCCAAACCGGCGCCAACUGGCACCGGGUUGCGGGAUAGAAGUACCGUGUUAUCUCGGGGGUAUUUUUGGAAGAAGGAAAAGAGUCAUAUAAAUAGGAUCCUUUUGACAGAAUUAGGGAUCCAGACCUAUUUUUCAGAAGGAGACCGACGGCAGAGCUCAGGAGAAUUCUUCUACAGUUCUUCUUCUUCUCUUUUCUUCUUAAUUUUAUGCUUUUGAAUAUUGGAUUAUUUUUAGCCAUGAUUAUGCUUGGCUAGUUUUCUUUUAUUGUAGUUAGGGUCACAAACCCUAUGUAAACCCUUGU